rnacentral:snRNA from 1 species
GGAUGUGAGGGCUAUCUGGCUGCGACAUCUGUCACCCCAUUGAUCGCCAGGGUUGAUUCAGCUGAUCUGGCUGGCUAGGAGGGUGUCCCCUUCCUCCCUCUCUGCUCCAGGUGCAUCCCUCCGGAGCUGUGGUCUUGGUGGAAAAGGACAACCUUCCCACUACCUUCCCGGAUAGAGGAUCGGCCUUCCAUCAAGGGUAUAGGAGUAGCUGCGCUCCUCUCCAAACAAGCUCUGGAGGUCCAUUUGUAGGAGAAUGUAGGGUGGUCAAGCUUCCAAAACUCCAGAUACAUUCAAAUGAGGCACAGCACGUGGCAGUCUGUCUUUAUUA